rnacentral:rRNA from 1 species
AGCGAACGUUUGCGGCGGGCCUAACACAUGCAAGUCGAACGCACUAGCAAUAGUGAGUGGCGCACGGGUGCGUAACACGUGGGUAAUCAACCCUUCAGCUUGGGAUAACGACUUGAAAGGGUCGCUAAUACCGGAUACGGCGCGGGAGGCUUCGGCUUCUCACGAGAAAGCCUCGCAAGGGGCACUGAAGGACGAGCCUGCGGCCCAUCAGCUAGUUGGUGAGGUAAGAGCUCACCAAGGCGAAGACGGGUAGCUGGUCUGAGAGGAUGAUCAGCCACACUGGAACUGAGACACGGUCCAGACUCCUACGGGAGGCAGCAGUGGGGAAUAUUGCGCAAUGGGCGAAAGCCUGACGCAGCCACGCCGCGUGAGCGAUGAAGGCCUUCGGGUCGUAAAGCUCUGUGGGGAGAGACGAAGAAAGCCCGUGAAGAGCGGGCCUUGACGGUAUCUCCUUAGCAAGCACCGGCUAACUCCGUGCCAGCAGCCGCGGUAA